rnacentral:rRNA from 1 species
AUGCUCAGUGCGGGUCCUGGCGAUGACGGCCUGAUGAGCUCCGAGCUGUACCUUGCCGUGUGCGGAGGCAAAAAGGAGGAAGCCAUGGCGCUGCUUCUGCAACUAAACUCUGGUAUACACCAGGUCAGCGCAGAGAGGAACAAUGUUUUUCAUUUAGCUGCAGAUCAAGGGCAUGACGAGCUGAUCCGGAAGCUCUACGCCAGCUUCGGGGACAAGAGCUUACUCUCUUCCCCCAACUCGGCUCUGGACACGCCGCUGCACUGUGCGGCGAGGGCUGGCCAUGAGAUGGCUGUGUCUCUCCUCGUCCAGCUCGCUAUGGACACUGGAGACCAGAGCAUCUUGUGCUGCAAGAACGAGGCUGGGGACACGGCCCUGCAUCUAGCAGCAAGGCUCGGCCAUGGCACAGCAGUUGAGGCUAUGGUCUCCACAGCGCCAGGGCUGGCCUCUGAGGUUAACAACGCCGGCUUGUCGCCGCUGUACUUGGCAGUGAUGAGCAAGUCGGCACCCGCCGUCAGGGCAAUAACGACCAGAUGCAGCGACGCGUCGGCUGCUGGUCCGAGCUCGCAGAAUGCUCUGCACGCUGCAGUCUUCCAGGGCUCAGAAAUGGUCAGCCUACUACUGGAUUGGAAGCCAUCUGGCCCAUCCCUGGCAAGCAAAGCUGAUGGCACUGGCAGCACUCCGCUCCAUUUCGCUUCGUCUGACGGUGACCGCUCCGUCGUAUGUGCCAUCCUGCGGGUCGCGCCGCACGCUGUGCGCAUGCGGGACUCAGGCGGCCUCUCCGCUCUCCACGUGGCGGCGGGAAUGGGCCAUGCCCAUGUGGCUGAGGCGCUGAUGAAGGCCUGCCCCGAUGCCGCCGAGCUCCGGGACGACCGCGGCGGGACCUUCUUGCACGCCGCUGCCAGGGGAGGCCACACCAGGGUCGUGUCGCUUGCCAUGAAGAAGCCGACGCCCCGCAGCCUCCUCAACACGCAUGAUGAGGAUGGCAAUACGCCGCUCCACCUCGCGGUGGCCGCAUGCGCGCCCAGCGCCGUGGAGGCCUUGAUGUGGCGUGGUGAAUUGUGUGCCGACGUCAUGAACAACGAAGGCCAGACGCCGUUGGAUCUCGCAGCUAGAUCGACCAGUUUCUUCUCCAUGUUGGCCUUGGUGGUGACGCUGGCCACGUUCGGAGCACAAUCUCGCCCUCAGAGGCGGGACCAUGUAGAGCAAUGGAGGGGCCGCGACAUAGCACAAGGGAUUGAGAAGAUGUCCGACAGCCUCGCAGUGGUCGGCGUGCUCAUCGCCACUGUGACCUUCACCGCCGCCAACAACGUGCCGGGUUCCUAUGAGCAAGCUGAUGACACGGCACCCGACAAGAGGGUCUUCAAGGGCAUGGCGGUGCUACAGGAGAAGAUCCUCUUCCAAUUCUUCCUGAUCCUUGACAGCUUUGCCCUGGUCACCUCCGUGCUCGCGGUGGUCCUUCUCGUCUUCGGGAAGGCGUCGCGCUCUGCGGGGUCGUGGAAGAGCUUCGCGGCGGCGCUGCACUGCAUAUGGGUGUCGCUGGUCAGCAUGUUCAUUGCCUUCUACGCAGCUCUCGCUGCAGUGACAAGCACGGAGGCGCUCUACCGCAUCAUCUACCACGUCAUAUACAUCGGCUUCGCCCUACUAUACGGCACGGUCGUAACUUUGAUCGUGCCGGUGUCGGCCUGCACACUUUGGAAGGCUCUCUGGUGCACCGUCGUGAAAGGAAGGCACAACGUCCUCGGGAGGCGUCUCAAGCAGCAGUAUCCAGUCGCCCGUGCUUACGCACCCCACCUGAUUCUUUUCAUGGCAACAAAUUACGUAGCGAUUGCCGGUUUCGUCGCAGUCUCUAUCUUGAGUGAACAAGCCGCCAGAGAGGCGAGGCAUCCUGGGGCACCUGCGCCGGCGCCUUCCUCUGCUCUCCUCUCCUAG